AAAUCAAUCAAUCAAAUUAUACCAUGAAUAUAUUAGAUAGAUUAAAUAUGAAUGACUGCAAUGCUCAAAAUACUCCUAUGGUAACCAGACAGAUUGAAAAUAGGAUUAAGAGAAAUCAAUCAGAGAAGUUACAAGAUGACUCAGAUAAACUAGAGAUGAAAAGAGUUCCUUCUAGAGAAGCGAUUGGUAGCUUAAUGCAUCCAUCAAAUGGUAGACACUACGUUUGCUGUUAACUAUUUAACGAGAAAACAAAUGAAGCCGACCGAAGCUGAUUGGAAAGGUGUAAAGAGAAUCUUCAGGUAUUUGAAAGGUACUGCGAAUUUAAGUCUUAAAUUCACCGCUCAAACUUAAUACUUAGAGGCAUUUACCGAUGCAACAUUUAGAGACCAUACCGACUUGUCAUCAACUGAAAGAGCCGAAUACCUAACCAUGAAUAAUGCCUAUCAAGAAUUAAUAAUUCUUGACAAGGUACUUAGAUUUGUGAUAGGAAAACUGAUGUUUCCUACAACAGUCUGGUGUGAUAAAAAUUCCGCUAGAGACUGCACCAAGAAAGAUGGUAGUCCCAAACUAAAAGUAUUUGAUGAUCAUUUAGAGGUAAUAAAUGACGACCUACUACAUAGAGAGAAAUCUGGACUUAGAAGACAUAUGGCUGAAACACAUGGUGAUUUCAUAAAACAAUGUGUUGAA